rnacentral:rRNA from 1 species
UUGAUCAUGGCUCAGGAUGAACGCUAGCUACAGGCUUAACACAUGCAAGUCGAGGGGCAGCAUAAACUUAGCUUGCUAAGUUUGAUGGCGACCGGCGCACGGGUGAGUAACGCGUAUCCAACCUUCCGUACACUCAGGGAUAGCCUUUCGAAAGAAAGAUUAAUACCUGAUGGUAUGAUGAGAUUGCAUGAUAGCAUCAUUAAAGAUUUAUCGGUGUACGAUGGGGAUGCGUUCCAUUAGGUAGUAGGCGGGGUAACGGCCCACCUAGCCAACGAUGGAUAGGGGUUCUGAGAGGAAGGUCCCCCACAUUGGAACUGAGACACGGUCCAAACUCCUACGGGAGGCAGCAGUGAGGAAUAUUGGUCAAUGGACGAGAGUCUGAACCAGCCAAGUAGCGUGAAGGAUGAAGGUCCUACGGAUUGUAAACUUCUUUUAUAAGGGAAUAAACCCUCCCACGUGUGGGAGCUUGUAUGUACCUUAUGAAUAAGCAUCGGCUAACUCCGUGCCAGCAGCCGCGGUAAUACGGAGGAUGCGAGCGUUAUCCGGAUUUAUUGGGUUUAAAGGGAGCGCAGACGGGUCGUUAAGUCAGCUGUGAAAGUUUGGGGCUCAACCUUAAAAUUGCAGUUGAUACUGGCGUCCUUGAGUGCGGUUGAGGUGUGCGGAAUUCGUGGUGUAGCGGUGAAAUGCUUAGAUAUCACGAAGAACUCCGAUUGCGAAGGCAGCACACUAAUCCGUAACUGACGUUCAUGCUCGAAAGUGUGGGUAUCAAACAGAAUUAGAUACCCUGGUAGUCCACACGGUAAACGAUGGAUACUCGCUGUUGGCGAUAUACUGUCAGCGGCUUAGCGAAAGCGUUAAGUAUCCCACCUGGGGAGUACGCCGGCAACGGUGCAACUCAAAUGAAUUGACGG